UUUAACCUUUGAGUUCCUGAAACACAAGUACUCCACUCCACUACAUACACACACACAUAGCACACACAGAUACAUACAGACACAAGUAAACGGAGAAAUGGCAGAUAAGGGAAAGAAUGUAAUGGGAAAAGGAGGAGAGACGGGCAACGAGACAUCAUCGAUGAAGAAGCUGGGAAGCGUGAUUCCAAAAGAGAGGAGGCAUGUCUCCCAAAUGAUGGGAGAGAAGAUUAGUGAUUCUAUUUCUUCUGGUAUUAAAAAUAUCAAGAACAAGGGCAAGAUCAAUCCAGAUGCUGGUGGUAACUAGAUAUACUAUGUGGGUUAUUGUUUUCGUUAUUGAUGCAUCGUUCAAAUCAUUGUUCAUACUGCUGCUGUAAACUUGAUUUACAGCGUUAGUCCUCGUAGUUGAUAAUCAAAUAUUGUUUUUGUAGUAGUUAUAGGUGUCUUGUGAUAUUUAUCUUCAAGCACCCUUCUCAUAUUUGUUUCUAGCUUAUUGCAAGAAUAGUGUUCACGGAUUCAAAUCAUAUCCUGCAUAUGUAGCACUUUUGUGUUGGA
rnacentral:lncRNA from 1 species